rnacentral:rRNA from 1 species
UACGUAGGGCGCGAGCGUUGUCCGGAAUUAUUGGGCGUAAAGAGCUCGUAGGCGGCCUGUCGCGUCGGUUGUGAAAGCCCGGGGCUCAACCCCGGGUCUGCAGUCGAUACGGGCAGGCUAGAGUUCGGUAGGGGAGAUCGGAAUUCCUGGUGUAGCGGUGAAAUGCGCAGAUAUCAGGAGGAACACCGGUGACGAAGGCGGAUCUCUGGGCCGAUACUGACGCUGAGGAGCGAAAGCGUGGGGAGCGAACAGG